UACGUAGGGGGCAAGCGUUGUCCGGAUUCAUUGGGCGUAAAGAGCGUGUAGGCGGCCAGGUAGGUCGGUUGUGAAAACUGGAGGCUCAACCUUCAGAGGUCGACCGAAACCAUCUGGCUAGAGUCCGGAGAGGAGGAGUGGAAUACCUGGUGUAGCGGUGGAAUGCGCAGAUAUCAGGAGGAACACCGAUGGCGAAGGCAGCUCGCUGGGACGGUACUGACGCUGAGGCGCGAAAGCGUGGGGAGCGAACAGG
rnacentral:rRNA from 1 species